UACUGGAGUCAUACCACCUUCUCAAUAAUGCCUCAUCUAGUUUGAUCUCAGAAGCUGCGAAGGGUCGGGCCUGGUUAGUACUUUGAUGGGAGAUUUGUUGGGAAUUCCAGGUUCCACAGUGG
rnacentral:rRNA from 1 species